CGGCUAAUAGAUUUUAUUUUCCCUCUAACUCUCGUCUACUCUCCCUUUCACUUCGUAAUUUCCCUUUUCAAGUAAAUAUAGAAGGACCAGCUCUUCUCCACAUAAGUUACGCCUUCUUCAAUAAUUACAAAUCUGUAUCAUGUUCUCUCCCUUUCACUCCCCGUUUAGAAAUCAAACACUAGGCACUGCCGAAGCAAGAGAGAUCUGUCUCACGCACUUGUCUCUCUCUCUCUCUCUCUCUCUCUCUCUCUCUCUCUCUCUCUAGUUGACCUAAUUAUUUCUCUCUCGCAGACGCAUAGAUCUCUCUUUGUAUCUGCUAGAUCUAUUCGUUUUCUCACAUUUCUAUUGCGAAAUCUGAUGUAAUUUCAGACUUUUAUUUCUUCGUUACAUUUUUAAUUCGUUUACAACUAGGGUUUGGUUUUUUUGAAAUCAUCGAUUUCAGAUCUUCCUGGUGUUUUUUUUUAAAUCAGAUCCGAAGAUCCCGCUUGCAGAUCUAGCAAUCUUUGUACAAUGAUGUGUUUUCAUAUCUGGGUUUGUUGUAAUUCUGGAACAUUGAGAAAGGUAUUGAUCUGGUUGGGUUCAAUUCGUUGAACUUAUGAUGUCUUAUGGGAUUUUUUUGAACGAUGCUAUCUUGUGAGUUAGGUUCCAUGGAGGAUACAAUUUCAGUUUAUUUUCGCUAAAAGAAGAACUAACAAGAUCCGUUUAUUUCCAGUUGAAAUAGAGCCAAGUAAAAAUAUUGGCUUAAUAGAAGUAUAGAAGUGUUACGGUCACGAGCUGUAAAGCUACUCCUUUAGAGUGAUGCUUUUGUUGAAGCCAAACAACUCUCUUUAGAACUCUUUGUUGAUGCAUGUGAGUGUAUGUCAUAGUUAUGAUGAGGAGCUAUAAUCGUAUUAUUGUGUUAUGGACAAAGCAUGAGCUAGGCAGGCCUAGAUAUGAAUCUCGUUGGGAUAUGGGUUGUAGUUCCAAGAUAUUCAUAAUCGUAUUGUUGUGUUAUGGACAAAGCAUGGGUUGUACUUGUUGUCGUUUAAAAGAUGUACUUUACUUUUUAGUUUUAAUAAUCAAAGUUCGGAUUUAUGGCUUUA